AUUGAACGCUGGCGGCAGGCCUAACACAUGCAAGUCGAGCGGUUGAGGUAGCGUGCUACCGAUGCAGCGGCGAACGGGUGAGUAACACAUGGGAAUCUGCCUGGUAGUGGGGGACAACGUCUCGAAAGGGACGCUAAUACCGCAUACGCCCUACGGGGGAAAGGGGGGGAUCUUCGGACCUCUCGCUAUCAGAUGAGCCCAUGUCAGAUUAGCUAGUUGGUGGGGUAAAGGCUCACCAAGGCGACGAUCUGUAACUGGUCUGAGAGGAUGAUCAGUCACACUGGAACUGGGACACGGUCCAGACUCCUACGGGAGGCAGCAGUGGGGAAUAUUGGACAAUGGGCGCAAGCCUGAUCCAGCCAUGCCGCGUGUGUGAAGAAGGCCUUAGGGUUGUAAAGCACUUUCAGUGGGGAGAAAGGUUAUUCACCUAAUACGUGAGUAAAUUGAUGUUACCCACAGAAGAAGCACCGGCUAACUCCGUGCCAGCCGCCGCGGUAA
rnacentral:rRNA from 1 species